AUGGUNGGANAGAGGCCUACCAUGGUGGUGACGGGUAACGGGGUGUUAGGGCACGACACCGGAGAGGGAGCCUGAGAAACGGCUACCACAUCCAAGGAAGGCAGCAGGCGCGCAAAUUACCCAAUCCCGACACGGGGAGGUAGUGACAAUAAAUAACAAUACGGGAUUCUUUGAAUCUUGUAAUUGGAAUGAGUACAAUUUAAAUCUCUUAACGAGGAACAAUUGGAGGGCAAGUCUGGUGCCAGCAGCCGCGGUAAUUCCAGCUCCAAUAGCGUAUAUUAAAGUUGUUGCAGUUAAAAAGCUUGUAGUUGAAUUUCGGGAUCAAUACGUCGGUCGUGCUUUNGGGUACGUACNGGCGUCAUUGGUUUCUCCUUUCUGACGAACCAUGAUGUCAUUAAUUUGGUGUUAUGGGGAGUUAGGACUGUUACUUUGAAAAAAUUAGAGUGUUUAAAGCAGGCAUUAGCUUGAAUACACUAGCAUGGAAUAAUGAAAUAGGACGUUCGAUCCUAUUUUGUUGGUUUCUAGGAUCGACGUAAUGAUUAAUAGGGAUAGUUGGGGGCAUUAGUAUUCAAUUGUCAGAGGUGAAAUUCUUGGAUUUAUUGAAGACUAACUACCGCGAAAGCAUUUGCCAAGGAUGUUUUCAUUAAUCAAGAACGAAAGUUAGGGGAUCGAAGACGAUCAGAUACCGUCGUAGUCUUAACCAUAAACUAUGCCGACUAGGGAUCGGAUGAUGUUAAUUUUUUAAUGACUCAUUCGGCGCCUUACGGGAAACCAAAGUGUUUGGG
rnacentral:rRNA from 1 species